rnacentral:lncRNA from 1 species
UUGCACCACUGCACUCCAGCCUGGGCGAUACAGUGAGACCCAGUCUCAAAAAAAAAAAAAAAAGAGUCUUUUUUGAUGGUGGACAUCUUCCAAUGAGCAUUCACAUGGGACAGAUUUUUUUUUAGUUCUACCGUUGUUCUGAAAGCUCUAUGUAUGUUCCUCUUCCCUAAAAAUCUUUGUCACCAAGCCUCCAGAUUUAUUCCUUCUAAAAUGUUGAAAUUCCAGCUAAUUCCUUAGUUGUUACCCAGGAAACAAUGCAGAUCCUGGUCCGAGGAUGCAGCUCCUUCCAGGCAGCCUGGACUGUGAGGUGUGCUCCAUUGCUCUUCAGGAACCGUCCUUGAGAGGCGUUCCACAGCAGGCCAGACCUGGGGGGAGCAGGUGGGCCAGGCGGAAAGCACAGCACAAUUUGAGAGAUGCUGAGUACUCAUGACUCUGUGUAAGCACCUGAAUUCAGCCCUCAUGGUCUUUUCUGAGCUGUCAGUCAUUUAUCUCUAUUUAGUCAUUUUGCGAAUUGGAGUUAGCUUCCUUCCCUCUACACUCAAAGACGGCAUGUCAACAUUUUAGGCCUCUGGGUGGAAUGAACUCCCAGUUUCCUGGGAGGGAGCUGAUUGGCAUCUAUUCGCCUCUUCCUAGUUUUGUGGGGUUUCCCAGCAUGUGGAGUCAUAGAGAAAGACUGGUCCCACCUUCUAUGUAAUGCCCAAGAGAAUAGAUGACUCUCUGUCCACCCCCACCCUGGCAUCCAGGGCUUCUGGACAAGACCUAGGCUGGCUAAUUGGCUGCUUCCACAUGGGAUCCUGAAUCUGGAGCAAGUGAGGCAAAGCCCAGGGUGCUUAGAAUCCAUUCUCAGUGAGAGCAGCAGGACUGCCCGGGAGGGGAAUAGAGACGGGGACGACCGAGUCCUGCACCAGCAGAGAUGACGUCCGCAGGUGGCGGGGCAGCGCUGUGGCCGUGUCACUCCUCACAAAGCAGGGCUCUUGUGCUCGCAGCCUUCGAUACCGUCUCACUGUCUUGGCUUCUAUUUAUCUUCCAAGCCAAUUUCCAGCCUCCUACACACGUGGGGUUCUUCUGGUAUCAUUCCAGUGAAUUUCAUGUUGUUUUCUGCCCUAAGAAAACAGAGUUGGUACCUCUGCUCGACCAAGAAGCCUGAUUGAUACAGACUGAGAGCUGCAGGCUGUGUUUAUUUGCUUCAUUAACAAGAACAACUUAGGAAUGGCAACUUCCAUUGAUGAGCUUCCUACUUUGUUCUGCGGUUGGAAAACAAACAGUUGUUUCCCUGUUGACGACUGGCCACACUGGAGAGGUGAACAGUUCACUCUCAAGGCCAUACUGACUUGAACACUGGCUGUCUAGAAACAGAGAGGCAGGCAGCGGCAGACAGGAAGAGAGAUGGAGCAGAGUCCUCCAGCGGGAGCUGCACCUCGGAAGCAUCCUUAGAUGCGGCUUGGAGUUGGGAUCCUUCAAUUCCCCUCAGGAGAGUCAGCCAAAAAUAUCAACAGCCACAAUUUAUUGGACGCCUUCAGGAGAAAUGUCAAAGGCCUUUGUCCAAAGGAAACUGAGGCUCUGAGAGAGGAGUGACUUGUCCAGGGUCCUGUGAUGGGAGACUGAGCAGAGUGGGAAUGAGACUGAGUUGGAGUGGAGUUGGCCUCCACUCUGUUUACUAAGAGCUGUGUGUCCCUAGGUAAGUCACUUUCCCUCUCUGGGCCUCAGGUUUUUUACCUGAUAGAUGGGCUUAGAGUCUCUUCUGCUGAUCCCCCAGGGUUGCAGGCAGCCAGUGAGGUUCUGAGUACUGUAGAGGGGAUGCUCUCAGCAGUAGUGGCGGUGGUAGGGAGUUGGGAUUGCAAACCCAGAGGCCAGCAGAGGCCAGGCAGGAACUGGAUUGAACUGGAAACUCAAGCUGUCCACUUGGGUCCAGUCAGGAUGGAUACUGAUAGAAGUGGGGGUCUCAUGUUGCCCACCUCAUGUUUAAGAAGAUUCUAGAAUUAUAGAUUAUUUGAUGUGAAAUUUCCUUAAAUGUAAAUGUUGGUAAAUAAAGUAACUAUUUAAACGAUAUACAUGCAAACACACAUUUGCACACACACGCCUUACACACAAUGGCUGGUCAGAUUUAGUGCAUAGCCAGCCAGCUGGUUUUCUGCUUUGGAAUUAUAGGCUGCUAAUUUUUUUAUUUUUUCUAGACAUGGUCUUGCUUUGUCACCCAGGCUGGAGUGCAGUGGCGUGAACACAGCUCAUUGCAGCCUUGACCUCCUGAGCCCAAACAGUCCUCCCAUCCCAGCCCAGCCCAGCAAAUAACUGGGAUGACUGGCAUGUACCACCAAGACUCACUAAUUGUUGUAUGUUUGUAGAGACGGGGUUUCACCAUGUUGCCCAGGCUGGUCUCAAACUCCAGAGCUCAGGAAAAACAUUAACAUCUGCCAUUUUUCUAAAUUGAAUGUGAAAGAUGAUCCUGACAGGCUGAACAAAGAUGCUUGCUCUCUGUUGUGAUGUUUGACAAGGGAAUCUUCCUUCAUUUUCUCCUCUGAUGAGCCUCUCUACCAGAUAAGCAGCAGCAGGAACCAAACGUUUAAGAAAAAUGUAAAGACAUUAUUUUGUCCAUCACUUAACAUUUUUAUGAACAAGUUGGGAGGUAGCCUGCAUGAAUGCCUCUGUGCAAUGGAAUGAAUGGCCGGAGAUCUCACCAUCCCAGGAUGACUUUGGGGAAGGAAGACCCAAACAGCCCACUAUCACAUGCUGUCCUGCCUGCCUCAGGCCUCCUGUCCUUCUCUCCCUUGUGACCUGCAAACUAACCUUGAGGACUCAUGUCAACUGUCACUGCAUUGGAAGCCCUCUGUGAUAGUUAAUAUUGAGUGUCAACUUGAUUGGAUUGAAGGAUGCAAAGUAUUGUUCCUGGGUGUGUCUGUGAGGGUGUGGC